ensembl:lncRNA
CUUUACCUGUAAUAUCCACUUCUGAAGCCACAACAUACACUACAACUGGUAAGUUCCUGAUAAAACAUUUUCAGGUUAUUACAUUAUUCUUAAAUUAGAAAAACAAUUCCCUUCUGAAAAAUGAUUCCCCUUGCCAUUUUUAUUUUAUUUUAUUUUAUUUUAUUUUAUUUUUAAAAUUAUUUUAUUUUAUUUUAUUUUAUAUACAUACAUAUACUNNNUUUAUGUGUGUGUAUAUAUAUAUGUAUAUUAGAAAUAUGUAAUCAUAUAUAUAUAUAUAUAUAUAUAAUUGCUAUAUUAUGAUUUAAUAUUAAUAGCAGUACUACAGAAUUUUAUUUCUAAACUAAAUGAACGCUGUAACAUUGUUGUAACCUAUUUUACAUCUUAACAGUGACCUCUACUGGAGAAGCUUUGGCAACAACCACACAAACUGAUCCAUUGCUUUAUUUCUGUCUGGACUCAUAGGAUUCAUCUGUCUGUGCCGCUUUACCAGUUCUGCUGAUGUUCUCACAGAACUGAACUUGACCUCCUGCCAGAUGGAAACAACAUCUCUUUUAACUUCCUCUGUGUGCUCCUCAAAACAUGAAUGACCUGUUUGUUCUUCACUGCAUAUUAAAUCUAAUUUCUAUAGCCUAGUUUUUACACUUUUUUUAAUCAGCUAGUUUAAUAUACACGCACAUGCAAGUUCUAACAAAAAAGUUCAUAUUUUCACUGCAAUUGUUAUAGUUUUGUUUGUUUUAUAUCCUCUGUCAAACAGUUGUCUGACCAAUGAACAAAUUAAUAAUUUGUGUGCUUUUAUAAUUUCCAUAUUAUUAAAUUUGAUAUCAUAAUCUAGUCUAUGUUCAAGUCUAAUAGUAGUAUUUUUGGCAUAUUUAAAUGUUACUUUAAAAAAAAAUUACCUUCUGUCUUCAGUAUAUGAGUUUGAGCACAAAAUGUGCCCCAGAUCUGCCUUCUGUUAACAUGAAUUUGAGUUGUACAUGUGAUCACAUGAUCUACAUUCAUAGAACUGACUGCACAAUGGAUAAAAAUGGCUUCCUGUGGUCUGAUGCCCUACUUCCUAAUUCCUCUAUUGUACGUGUCAUCUCUUUUCUGACACUCGCUGUAAUGGAGUUGAUCGUUUUCAUAGUGAUUCAGCUCCUGAUGGAGGUUCAGUCCUACACAUCUCCUAGUGUAAAAGUAUCUCCAGAUGUCAUAAGAGAGUCCAGCUCAGUGAAGAUCAGAUGUGAGAUGCCAGCAGGUGAUCCUGUGAAUCAGUGUUAUUUCUACAUAAACAGUGAGGAGAAGAAUGUAAAAACCAGUUAUAGAUGUGAGCUCGAGCUCAAUGGUGCUGAAGUGUUCAGAUGGGCAGCUGUAAAAUCACCUGAAUCACUCAACAUUAUCUGUUACUACACAAUACAGGGGAUUAAUAAAACAUCACCUCAUUCUCCUCCUGCCACAGUGACGGUUCGAGCUUUACCUGUAAUGUCCACUUCUGAAGCCACAACAUACACUACAACUGGUAAGUUCCUGAUAACACAUUUUCUAGUUAUUCCAUUAUUCCUAAAUUAGAAAAAUAAUUCCCUUCUGAAAAAUGAUUCCCCUUGCGAUUUUAAUUUUUAUUAUCAGACCUCCAUUCUAAGACAAAGCUGUCAAAAACUAGUAAGAUCCAUUGGAUUCAUGGAUGUUGGAUACUCAUGAUUAUGGUGUUUUCAAUAUGGUUAAUAUUUGUUUAUGAAUUAUGUAUAUUUUUUUAUAUUCUGUUUUAAGACUUUAACUACAUGUUGUUGUUUUUUUUUUCUGCAGUUACCAUUACAAACACCACUUUGCCUGGGGACAUUAGAAUAUCAGAACAUAGUAAGUACUUAAGGCUGGAAUGCACUGCGACUUUUAAAAUCUGAACUAAUUUUAAAAUCUGAACCAAUUUUUAAACACCAGACAUCAUACAUUUACAGACUUUGUACAUAGUUACAGAGGAAAACUGGCCAUCAUACAUUAAAUGACUGAGGAUCAAACACUACCAGACUUUCAAGUAGAGUUCUCCAAAAAGAUAUCUGAACAAAAUGUUAAAUCACACUGGAACAUUCUGUGUUUCACCCAAUAUGUUUGCUUAUUUAUUUAAUUUUUUGGGGGAAGGUAUAUAGAUUUAAUAAAAUGUUACAAAGUGGGGUAUUUUUUUUUAUU